rnacentral:rRNA from 1 species
AACGAACGCUGGCGGCAUGCCUAACACAUGCAAGUCGAACGAAGCCUUCGGGCUUAGUGGCGCACGGGUGCGUAACGCGUGGGAAUCUGCCCUUGGGUUCGGAAUAACAGUUAGAAAUGACUGCUAAUACCGGAUGAUGUCUUCGGACCAAAGAUUUAUCGCCCAAGGAUGAGCCCGCGUAGGAUUAGGUAGUUGGUGGGUAAAGGCCUACCAAGCCGACGAUCCUUAGCUGGUCUGAGAGGAUGAUCAGCCACACUGGGACUGAGACACGGCCCAGACUCCUACGGGAGGCAGCAGUGGGGAAUAUUGGACAAUGGGGGGCAACCCUGAUCCAGCAAUGCCGCGUGAGUGAUGAAGGCCUUAGGGUCGUAAAGCUCUUUUACCAGGGAUGAUAAUGACAGUACCUGGAGAAUAAGCUCCGGCUAACUCCGUG